rfam:Prosthecomicrobium hirschii strain 16 C1, whole genome shotgun sequence.
GAUCCCGGAGGUCCACGCCCGCCAGCGCGUUGCGCCCGCGGGCGCGUUUCCG